GAUGAACGCUGGCGGCGUGCCUAAUACAUGCAAGUCGAGCGAACGGACGAGAAGCUUGCUUCUCUGAUGUUAGCGGCGGACGGGUGAGUAACACGUGGAUAACCUACCUAUAAGACUGGGAUAACUUCGGGAAACCGGAGCUAAUACCGGAUAAUAUUAUGAACCGCAUGGUUCAAAAGUGAAAGACGGUCUUGCUGUCACUUAUAGAUGGAUCCGCGCUGCAUUAGCUAGUUGGUAAGGUAACGGCUUACCAAGGCAACGAUGCAUAGCCGACCUGAGAGGGUGAUCGGCCACACUGGAACUGAGACACGGUCCAGACUCCUACGGGAGGCAGCAGUAUGGAAUCUUCCGCAAUGGGCGAAAGCCUGACGGAGCAACGCCGCGUGAGUGAUGAAGGUCUUCGGAUCGUAAAACUCUGUUAUUAGGGAAGAACAUAUGUGUAAGUAACUGUGCACAUCUUGACGGUACCUAAUCAGAAAGCCACGGCUAACUACGUG
rnacentral:rRNA from 1 species